UCGUAUCCUAAACCUUAAAACUUGAUUAAGUUGCUCGAGUGUCAAAUAAAAAUACCGUUUAAAGGACAAAAUGGAGGGGAGAGGAAGAAGGUAUUUUAGAAUACCUUGUUUGUUGCUAGCAACAAGUUUCAAGGAGGGAAUGGAGAUGGAUGAAGGUACCAAUGCUCGAACCCACGACCAAAGCCAGUGAGUGCAACAGCUUUCAACAGC
rnacentral:lncRNA from 1 species